rnacentral:lncRNA from 1 species
AUAGAGGGGGGAUAGGAGGGGUCCUGAUCCCGAAAUCCCGGGCUUGAAAAAACGAAAUCCGAAAUUCCGGGCUUAAAAACACAAAUCUCCGAGGUCCCGAAAUUCGCAAAAAAGAAUUCCCGGAUCCCGAAAGGGUCAAUCCCGAAAUCCCGAGCUUAAAAACACCCGAUCCCGGAGUCCCGAUAAAGGUCCUAUCCCCCC